CAGCGAAUGGUCGCGAAGGAGGCCAGAUAUAAGCGAACGUUCGCCAAGGUCUUCCAAAGAAAUACGAGUAAGCGGAUUUUGCUGAGUAUACUCUUCGCCUGAGCCUCGCCAGCGAGAUACAACAGGGGCGAAGUCAAUCCAAAAGGCCAGCGAGUGGACCUUAAUGGACAGUAUACCAACCACAGUAGCAGACGUCCAGGCAGAGCCAAUAGGGAGGCUUUCGCUGUUAAAGCGGAUUCAGGGUGAGGUUCUUCCGCCAGCAAGAAAAGGAAAAAUUGAACUACAGAAGACUACAUAUUGAAUCCAGAGUAAUCUCCCACUACUGCUGCGAAGAAUCGAGCUCAAUCUCCAGGAAAUAGUGAUUGAUUGUACUCAGUUUGCUGAUAAAUUGAUCUUCUGUGGGCUAUUCUGUUGAGCUUUCAUCAAAAGUCUGAGAAUAUGAUAUAUGCCUACAAGGUGUUUGAUGGGAUGCCUGAGAGAGACGUUCUACAAAGAUGACAUGUGCAGGCUUGGGGGGCAGAACUAUCAAUCCUCAUGAUAAUGUGUCCUUGAGAGAGUACAAGAGAAUAUCAAUCCUAAUUGGUCAGGUGCAAAGAACAGAGGCUUAUGCAUAUUUUCCUAGCUCACACUGGGGGGCACACUCACGUUUUGACGUCCUACACUAACACCUGUACUUGACAUGAUUCAUUCCAGACAUCAAAACUGGGGGGCACAUAUGGGGCAUGUAUUUUUCAAAUUUUUGUGGUAUGAUUUAAUGCUAAACUUCACAGAUCAAGACUUGAAGUGUCUUAAUAUCACCUGGGCCAAUAUUUGUGGCCUCUUGAUGUUGCAGAGUUAAAACUUUUGAGAAAAUCUAAAUGCCAAUUGAAGGAGAACUUUGGAAUGAUGGUGGACAUCUCCGGUUGUAGUUAACUCCAGUUGCAUGAAGCCUGUGAAUGAGAUACAAGACAAGGAUGUGAAUGCCAUAGAGGAGUAUGAGCUCGCGAAGUAAAGCUACCAAGAAAUUUUCAGAGUUUCUCCUCACAGUAGUCUUUUGCAUUACACUUUGCUUGGCAUUCAUGGCUGAUGUUCUAUUGGAAGAUAAUCUAGCUAAGCCAGCAAGUGGCUCUAGUAUGUUCCAACUACAGUGGCUAUAGUUGCAGGGGAGAAAAGCAUAAUUGAUUCAAGUUACAGGAUCAUUAUUUCUUUUUUAAGGAUCUGCAUAUGAAGUGGUGAAGAUGUGAUUUUUGGCUUUAUGUGCUUAAUAUGUGGCACACCUGGUGGGUAUGUGUCGGCUAGCCAAGCUAGUGGCUAAAAGCUUCAAUCCAAGUCAUCAUGCUCUUUGUUAUUAAACAAAAAUAUUGCAGCAGAGGCAAAGAGAAGCGUAGGUUGACUGAAAACUCUUAUUGCCAAAUUGUGGCAUGGGUAGAAGAAAGAAAAUUUGCUGAUAUCUAUGUCUUUCUGCAUAUGGUUAGCCCGACAGCAUAAUCAUGAAAUCAUAGUUUACAUGGAGAGAACACUAGCCAGUACCACUUUUUCUUGGUCAAAUUCUGUGGCCAUAAGCUUUUGGAGGCUCUUGUUUUCCUUAGUUUAUGCUGGGGGGGGGGCAAAGCUGGCAAAGAAGACGUCGCUUCAUGACAACGGUGCAGAACUUGAAGAAAGGUGUCUUUUCCCCAAGUUGAUGAUACUGCUGAGAAGUGGACAAUUUUCCAGGUUCUUUAUCCCAUAUGGUGCUUCGCAAUUAUACUCCAUUUAAUGUCAUACGCACAAAAUCAUGCUACUGCUCUGUUGAGGAAGGAAGUGGUUUCUCCACUUUCUUUGGGGAGAGGCCUGAGUUAUAUAGCCCAUUAUAUCUGAAUCCAAGUCUAGGGUAUUUAGAUAUUUUGAUCAUUCACAAUUGUUGGCAAAGCCUAGUUUUGCUCUGGCAAAUUAUACAUAAGCUAAUAAGUGGCCUAGUCUGAGGUUGCUGCACGUUAUGGCAAGUUUAGCUAGACAUGAUGCUAGCUCGAUUUGAUCGAUGCAUGUUCUGCUCAUGACUAUUCAUAUUGAUGUCCUUCAACAAAAGACCACAUCACAACAGCUUCAUGGCAGCAACUGAAAGCAUAAAUGUGGUCUCUUGGUUUGAUUAACAGAGGACAGAGCUGGAGGUGCAAUUUCCUAGCGCCAGGUAUUAACCACAAAUUGUGGUAAGCAUUACAAGAUUGAAAUACAUGUUUCCUAGCAUGGGGGGCAUCAUGUUCUCAUCAAGAAAGCAUGCAAAGUAAUAAUUCUCACGGCAGCGGUAAACUUGAGAAAUAAAGAGGCCUUGGCUUCUUGGCCUGAAAAUACCACUGACCUAUGUGCAUUUCAAGUCAGCUAAUGGAAUGCAUGGCGAAGGAUUGAGCUGAAGUUGGCGCAAAGAUAAAGAUUUCGCAUUCACCGGAAGGAAAUAUUGGAGGACGCUCCUUUAUUUUUUGGAGGAAUGAAGACAGAGUUGGGAUAAUCAAUGAAUUAAAAAGCGCGCCUUGGGGCGCGCCUGAGGCUCAAAGGGCGAAAUUCUGGCCUGAAAUUGAGUGUGUUUUAGUGGUUAGGCGACGACGCUGGUGAGGCGUCCUCCAAGGCGUUAAAGGCGUGAAAGGCGUCCUCCAAGGCGCUGAAGGCGUACGCGCAGAAAAAAUGGUAAAUGACGUCGUUUUGAAACAGAUUGGGUUUAAAGCGUUUCUAGGUCGCGACCCCAGAGUAAUUGAGUGUUGGAGAGCCGAUUUCAGCCCUCUCUGUUCCAAAAGCUUGUAAUUCGAUCCCUAACCCAGAGUCAAUUGGAGGUCGAUUCGCAGCAGGCUAUUUGAACGUUUUGGAGUUGGAUACUUGGAUUCGCAACAGGCCAUUUGAAGACCUGGUAUGCAAAUCAAAACUGCAAUCUUGGUAUCGUUGAUUACCAGAAAACUACUCAUAUUUCCGAAUUGUGGGUUCCUACAAUGGAGUGGUUUGGUUAUAUGGUAGUGAUUAUGAAACAUAUAUAUUGAAUCUGUCAAUCUGAAAAUUCAGAGACUUCCCCAGGCCCUCAUUGAAGGGGGCUAUUAGCUCGCUCUGCUAUCGGGUUUGGGUUCCAUCCUGUAGGUGAUGACUAUAUAUAAAGUUGUGAGAAUUUGGACAUGUAUACGUCGUAAUAUAAUUGAAGUUAAGGUUUACAGCCAUAGGUUGGAGGCUUGGAGAAUAAUUAAUGCAGUUCUCCAGCAGCCUUUUUGUGUGCUCUGUUCUCGGUCCUCUUUUGAAGUAGCAGCUGGAAGAUAUUGAGAUGGCUGAACUGGGUUUACUAUAUUGAGGCCGAGUUACUAUAUUAUUGUCUCUUGUGCUAAUUGAUAUGAUUGUCAUUAUAAUAUAUGAUUGGCUGAACUGGAUUUGGAGUUCGACUUGGAGUUCGAUUGGCAGGCUUGAAGAGGUGCUUGCAGAUUUGGAGUUCGACUUGCAGACAAGAUUUGAAGUGCAGCAACAAUGAGUUCUAGUACUACUACUAGUGGUUGCUCUUAAUGUGACGACAAAAAUUUAUGUCGCAAGGCUUACGCCUUAUGCGCCUUAUGCCUCAAGGCUGCAAGGCUCUCCCGAAAACGCCUCGGGUACGCCUUCAGCGUUUUAAAACAUUGGGGAUAAUAUAAGAAGGGCAUUGAAUGAUCCAUUUGGCUGAAUGUCUAUUGAAAGCAAAUUGGUACAAGUUUUGUUGUGACUGAUCACCACAAAGAGCUUGUAGUUCUUGGUUAUGGAGCCAUAGCAACAUGGAUACAAUGAAAGAGAUUUCAACUCUACACAAGCGUGAAAUCGUCAAUCAGCUCAAUGCACUACACAAACUGCCUCGAAAGAUCAAAUCUGGAAACAUAUCAGAGAGUGAUGUGGCUUAAGGAAACAAAAGCCUAAAGAGGCUUGAUGAGCUUAGCUGUGAGCUGUCAGUAAUUGUCAAAAACCAAUUGUGGUUUUGGAAACUCGUUAUGAUCAAGCAAGUUCAUCCGGAACACGUGUUUGAUUAUUAACGUUCAAGGCCAAUACUUGUGGCCUUCUUAUCAUAUCAAAUAUUGAUCUUUUUGCUAGACAUGUAGUAGCGUGCUGUGGAACAUGAUAGCAAAAUUCAUAUGCAAUUGAGGACCAUUAUUAAAUUAAUAGGUUCUAUUGUUCAGAAAAACAGAUUGAAAGUAAUCAAGGUUUGCUGAGCAAUCCACUCAGGACCAAUACCUGUGGCCUUUUUAUAUGCAGGUCUAUGAGAGAUCUGUCCAUAAAGAAUACCUCUUGGGUGCCUAUAUUCAGGAAUUUGAGCAGGGAAGAAAAAUCUAGAACCCAUCGAAAUCCUUGUCAGGUUCUACACCACAUGUGAUUAAAGCCCAAGGCAUUCAUGUUAAUUACAUGGCAUGUGCCAUUCUUUGUAAUCUAUCUCGUCGCUCGUCAAGGUGGUUUAGAUUGUGACAUUCAAGCUUCAUGGCCUGUUUAGAGGCUUAUAUGGAAUCAGUCAAGUGAUUUCAAGCAUGUACUUAUCAAUUAAUGAAAGUGGCUUUAAAGCGACGAUAUUGCAAGAAAAGUGCUGACUCAAGACCUCUUCAGUCAAGACGGGGACCUUUGAUUUCGAGGUCU